rnacentral:rRNA from 1 species
UACGUAGGGUGCGAGCGUUAAUCGGAAUUACUGGGCGUAAAGCGUGCGCAGGCGGUUGGUUAAGUCUGAUGUGAAAGCCCCGGGCUCAACCUGGGAAUGGCAUUGGAAACUGGCUGGCUAGAGUGUGGCAGAGGGGGGUGGAAUUCCGCGUGUAGCAGUGAAAUGCGUAGAUAUCGGGAGGAAUACCGAUGGCGAAGGCAGGUCUCUGGGCUGACACUGACGCUCAUGCACGAAAGCGUGGGGAGCAAACAGG